UACGUAGGUGGCAAGCGUUGUCCGGAUUUACUGGGCGUAAAGAGCGCGCAGGCGGUCGUUCAAGUCGCGUGUGAAAGCCCCCGGCUCAACUGGGGAGGGUCACGCGAUACUGCUCGACUCGAAGGCAGGAGAGGGAAGUGGAAUUCCCGGUGUAGUGGUGAAAUGCGUAGAUAUCGGGAGGAACACCAGUGGCGAAGGCGGCGACCUGGGACAAUACUGACGCUGAGGUGCGAAAGCGUGGGGAGCAAACAGG
rnacentral:rRNA from 1 species